rnacentral:rRNA from 1 species
UACGUGAGGGGGCAAGCGUUGUCCGGAAUUAUUGGGCGUAAAGCGCGUGUAGGCGGCUCGGUAAGUCUGCUGUGAAAGUCACAGGCGUCAACCUGUGAAAGCGGGUGGAUACUGCCGGGCUAGAGUCCGGAAGAGGCGAGUGGAAUCCUGGUGUAGCGGUGGAAUGCGCAGAUAUCAGGAGGAACACCAACGGCGAAGGCAGCUCGCUGGGACGGUACUGACACUGAGGCGCGAAGCGUGGGGAGCGAACAGG